CUGUGAGCUCGAUGAGUAGGGCGGGACACGUGGUAUCCUGUCUGAAUAUGGGGGGACCAUCCUCCAAGGCUAAAUACUCCUGACUGACCGAUAGUGAACCAGUACCGUGAGGGAAAGGCGAAAAGAACCCCGGCGAGGGGAGUGAAAAAGAACCUGAAACCGUGUACGUACAAGCAGUGGGAGCACAGAGCAAUCUGUGUGACUGCGUACCUUUUGUAUAAUGGGUCAGCGACUUAUAUUCUGUAGCAAGGUUAACCGAAUAGGGGAGCCGAAGGGAAACCGAGUCUUAACUGGGCGUUAAGUUGCAGGGUAUAGACCCGAAACCCGGUGAUCUAGCCAUGGGCAGGUUGAAGGUUGGGUAACACUAACUGGAGGACCGAACCGACUAAUGUUGAAAAAUUAGCGGAUGACUUGUGGCUGGGGGUGAAAGGCCAAUCAAACCGGGAGAUAGCUGGUUCUCCCCGAAAGCUAUUUAGGUAGCGCCUCGUGAAUUCAUCUCCGGGGGUAGAGCACUGUUUCGGCAAGGGGGUCAUCCCGACUUACCAACCCGAUGCAAACUGCGAAUACCGGAGAAUGUUAUCACGGGAGACACACGGCGGGUGCUAACGUCCGUCGUGAAGAGGGAAACAACCCAGACCGCCAGCUAAGGUCCCAAAGUCAUGGUUAAGUGGGAAACGAUGUGGGAAGGCCCAGACAGCCAGGAUGUUGGCUUAGAAGCAGCCAUCAUUUAAAGAAAGCGUAAUAGCUCACUGGUCGAGUCGGCCUGCGCGGAAGAUGUAACGGGGCUAAACCAUGCACCGAAGCUGCGGCAGCGACACUGUGUGUUGUUGGGUAGGGGAGCGUUCUGUAAGCCUGUGAAGGUGUACUGUGAGGUAUGCUGGAGGUAUCAGAAGUGCGAAUGCUGACAUAAGUAACGAUAAAGCGGGUGAAAAGCCCGCUCGCCGGAAGACCAAGGGUUCCUGUCCAACGUUAAUCGGGGCAGGGUGAGUCGACCCCUAAGGCGAGGCCGAAAGGCGUAGUCGAUGGGAAACAGGUUAAUAUUCCUGUACUUGGUGUUACUGCGAAGGGGGGACGGAGAAGGCUAUGUUGGCCGGGCGACGGUUGUCCCGGUUUAAGCGUGUAGGCUGGUUUUCCAGGCAAAUCCGGAAAAUCAAGGCUGAGGCGUGAUGACGAGGCACUACGGUGCUGAAGCAACAAAUGCCCUGCUUCCAGGAAAAGCCUCUAAGCAUCAGGUAACAUCAAAUCGUACCCCAAACCGACACAGGUGGUCAGGUAGAGAAUACCAAGGCGCUUGAGAGAACUCGGGUGAAGGAACUAGGCAAAAUGGUGCCGUAACUUCGGGAGAAGGCACGCUGAUAUGUAGGUGAAGUCCCUCGCGGAUGGAGCUGAAAUCAGUCGAAGAUACCAGCUGGCUGCAACUGUUUAUUAAAAACACAGCACUGUGCAAACACGAAAGUGGACGUAUACGGUGUGACGCCUGCCCGGUGCCGGAAGGUUAAUUGAUGGGGUCAGCGCAAGCGAAGCUCUUGAUCGAAGCCCCGGUAAACGGCGGCCGUAACUAUAACGGUCCUAAGGUAGCGAAAUUCCUUGUCGGGUAAGUUCCGACCUGCACGAAUGGCGUAAUGAUGGCCAGGCUGUCUCCACCCGAGACUCAGUGAAAUUGAACUCGCUGUGAAGAUGCAGUGUACCCGCGGCAAGACGGAAAGACCCCGUGAACCUUUACUAUAGCUUGACACUGAACAUUGAGCCUUGAUGUGUAGGAUAGGUGGGAGGCUUUGAAGUGUGGACGCCAGUCUGCAUGGAGCCGACCUUGAAAUACCACCCUUUAAUGUUUGAUGUUCUAACGUGGACCCGUGAUCCGGGUUGCGGACAGUGUCUGGUGGGUAGUUUGACUGGGGCGGUCUCCUCCUAAAGAGUAACGGAGGAGCACGAAGGUUGGCUAAUCCUGGUCGGACAUCAGGAGGUUAGUGCAAUGGCAUAAGCCAGCUUGACUGCGAGCGUGACGGCGCGAGCAGGUGCGAAAGCAGGUCAUAGUGAUCCGGUGGUUCUGAAUGGAAGGGCCAUCGCUCAACGGAUAAAAGGUACUCCGGGGAUAACAGGCUGAUACCGCCCAAGAGUUCAUAUCGACGGCGGUGUUUGGCACCUCGAUGUCGGCUCAUCACAUCCUGGGGCUGAAGUAGGUCCCAAGGGUAUGGCUGUUCGCCAUUUAAAGUGGUACGCGAGCUGGGUUUAGAACGUCGUGAGACAGUUCGGUCCCUAUCUGCCGUGGGCGCUGGAGAACUGAGGGGGGCUGCUCCUAGUACGAGAGGACCGGAGUGGACGCAUCACUGGUGUUCGGGUUGUCAUGCCAAUGGCACUGCCCGGUAGCUAAAUGCGGAAGAGAUAAGUGCUGAAAGCAUCUAAGCACGAAACUUGCCCCGAGAUGAGUUCUCCCUGACCCUUUAAGGGUCCUGAAGGAACGUUGAAGACGACGACGUUGAUAGGCCGGGUGUGUAAGCGCAGCGAUGCGUUGAGCUAACCGGUACUAAUGAACCGUGAGGCUUAACCUU
rnacentral:rRNA from 1 species